UACGUAGGGGGCAAGCGUUGUCCGGAAUCAUUGGGCGUAAAGAGCGUGUAGGCGGCUCGGUAAGUCCGCUGUGAAAGUCCAGGGCUCAACCCUGGAAUGCCGGUGGAAACUGUCGAGCUAGAGUCCGGAAGAGGCGAGUGGAAUUCCUGGUGUAGCGGUGAAAUGCGCAGAUAUCAGGAGGAACACCAGUGGCGAAGGCGGCUUUCUGGACGGUAACUGACGCUGAGGCGCGAAAGCGUGGGGAGCAAACAGG
rnacentral:rRNA from 1 species